rnacentral:lncRNA from 1 species
AUCUAUCGUAAAAAUACUAUAAAUCAUGAUAAUUGACAACAUAAAAUAUUUCAAAAAUGUUGUAUGUGGGUAGUCUUAUUAUGCCUUAAAUAGCGUCAAAGAAAGUACAAGUUUGUGAUAAAAAAAUUUAUUCCUUUAUCCACGCAAACAAUUUCUUCAAAAAUUCGGUUAUUUGCCCCAAAACAUACCAUUUAUAUUAUUAGGCCCGUGCAUAGCAUGGGCAACAUUAUCUAGUAUUAAAAAAAGAAGCAGAUUCCUCUGAUUUACUGUCACAUUAGUCACCCUUGUAUGUCGCGUUGAAAAGGAGAGUUUUAUUGCAUAUAUAUAGCAAACAAUGCAAAUGAAAACAAGAGUCAUGCGUAGCA